UAGCUAGGAAUAAAUUGUAAAGAACACU
rnacentral:piRNA from 1 species